GUGACAUACCUACAACUGUUGCUUCGGCGGGUAGGCCGUCCCCUGAAAAGGACGCCUCCCGGCCCGGACCGGACCCCCCGUGGGGCCGGACUCGGCGCCCGCCGGAGGAUAACCAAACGCUAUUUUAACGACGUUUCUUCUGAGUGGCAUAAGCAAAAUAAUCAAAACUUUUAACAACGGAUCUCUUGGUUCUGGCAUCGAUGAAGAACGCAGCGAAAUGCGAUAAGUAAUGUGAAUUGCAGAAUUCAGUGAAUCAUCGAAUCUUUGAACGCACAUUGCGCCCGCCAGCAUUCUGGCGGGCAUGCCUGUUCGAGCGUCAUUUCAACCCUCAAGCUCUGCUUGGUGUUGGGGCUCUACGGUCGACGUAGGCCCUCAAAGGUAGUGGCGGACCCUCCCGGAGCCUCCUUUGCGUAGUAACAUUUCGUCUCGCAGUGGGAUCCGGAGGGACUCUUGCCGUAAAACCCCCCAAUUUUUCAAGGUUGACCUCGGAUCAGGUAGGAAUACCCGCUGAACUUAAGCAUAUCAAUAAGGCGGAGGAA
rnacentral:rRNA from 1 species